UACGUAGGGGGCGAGCGUUGUCCGGAUUUAUUGGGCGUAAAGAGCGUGUAGGCGGCCAGGUAGGUCUGCUGUGAAAACUCGAGGCUCAACCUCGAGACGUCGGCGGAAACCAUCUGGCUAGAGUCCGGAAGAGGAGAGUGGAAUUCCUGGUGUAGCGGUGAAAUGCGCAGAUAUCAGGAGGAACACCGGUGGCGAAGGCGGGUCUCUAGUACGGUACUGACGCUGAGACGCGAAAGCGUGGGGAGCGAACAGG
rnacentral:rRNA from 1 species